GGUCACAAGUAGGAUCUAGGUUUGGGGGGAAAAUGUUUUAGUUCUGCCCUUUCCUCAUCCCUGUGUGGCCCUAGGCAGAUAUGCCCCUUCCUUUGAGUACUACGAAGGCAGGAGGUCAGAGUACAGGCCAGGAGCAGGAGUACCUAUAGGACAGAGCUUGGACCUGGCACGGUGAUGAGCAGAUGGCAUUGAAUGUUGCUGGCCUGACCAGUCCCGGAGAAAGCACCCUCCACACACACGUACCAGCUCUCAAACCCCUGUGGGCAUCCACUUAUAAUAACCAGUGGCAGAGUGGCUGCUACCAAUAAAAGUUUAUUCAGAAGUUCCUUGGAGACCAGUUGAGCACAAAACCAUGCCUCUCCCAGGAAGACGCAUGACAAACACAUACCUGGAAGAGCACAAACGUGCUGUAUACCGCUACCCUUUCUGCAGAGGCCUUCUGCUAAUCAGUGAACCUGAAGGAAGGAACAAGGAUGAGCUCAGAGGGCAAAUGCUGAGAACGGGCUGUUUGAGGAACAACAAACCGAACAACCUAUCCAGAGAAAACAGAACUCAUGGAAAACAGAAAAAGAAUCUCAAACCGGGAAAAUGAACAUGCUUGAAGAGGUGAAAGAGGACACUGGAAACACGAAGAAAGAGCAUGCCAUCUGCCUGGAGGAGUAUACACCUGCAGCCCAGUUCAGACUGGCAAAGUCCCCCGGAGAUGAACUCAUUCAACCAACCACGGACCUCCGUGUCGCUCUCCACUUAAAAACUAAAGGGGUCUGCUCAGGGUCACAGGGCUGGUCAAAGGCAGAACCAGACCCGAUGUCUGCAUUCAAGUUCUUUCUCUUCCACACCAAGACUGUCUCAGCUUCCUGAGCUCCAGAGGAUGGUGUCACAGUGACUUUGGAGCGACAAGACACAAAUGUCACUUCCUUUCCUCGAAGACCCCAAAAGAUCUGUCACCUCUCCCGCUUUGACAGCCUGCAGGUACUUCCUUAUCUUUAAUCGUAAUCCUGUUUUGGUUACAUUUGGAAGGGUUUAUAAGCUUGCAUUUGGGAGGCAGACAGAGUAGGGUCCACUAGCAUAUUUUUCUUGCUGUGUGACCUUUGGUGAUAAUUUCUUUACACCUCAUUUUCCUCAUCCAGAAAAUGGGGAAAAAAAUGCAAGAGCAUCUAAAGUGCUUUCCAUACUUCCUGGUACACGGUAAGGCGCUCCCUCAUUUUCUGUGGACAUCCAGGAAGUCCAUUUUGAAGCUAUUCAGCUAUUUCCUUGAAAGUUGUUGAAACGGAUAUAUUUUUUUCCAUUUUUUGGGCCGCGCCCAGGGUCGAGAUUGAACCUGCACCACAGCAGCAACCCAGGCCCCUGCAGUGACACCACCAGAUCCUUAACUUGCUGCGUCAUAAGAGAAAUCCCGGAGAAAAUGAUUUUAAUUCCCUUCAGCCUCUUCCUUCCAGCCCUUUAUGGUCUUUGCUUCUUCGUAGAUAUGGAGAUGGGCAAUUGCUCAAAGAUGUCAGUGUGGUGACCACAGAUUUGUACCUGAUGGAUCUAAGAGGCUCUGCUUUGGGGUUUCCAGUUCUCUUCCGCAAGAGACCCAGCGUUGUGGGACAUGAAGGAAUUUGGGACAACAUCAUCAGUGGCAAUGACUUCAAGAGCCCUAUUCAACAUAAGAAACGUUGAAAGGACUGGGGCUGAGUAAGGUAGCAGACUUUUGCAAUGCAAAGGACCAUAGGAAAAAAAAAUGGGCAAAUCCUUUGCUUGUGCAGCCACAGAGGUCAAGGCUUUCAGGGACUGGGACACACCCCGGCCGGUCCCUGGCAGAGCAGGUCCCCAAACCCGGGUUCCCUCGCCUGGCUCCGUGCCUGGUCCAUCUUACCAGCUGCCUCU
rnacentral:lncRNA from 1 species